rnacentral:rRNA from 1 species
GAUGAACGCUGGCGGCGUGCCUAAUACAUGCAAGUCGAGCGAACAGACGAGGAGCUUGCUCCUCUAACGUUAGCGGCGGACGGGUGAGUAACACGUGGAUAACCUACCUAUAAGACUGGGAUAACUUCGGGAAACCGGAGCUAAUACCGGAUAAUAUAUUGAACCGCAUGGUUCAAUAGUGAAAGACGGUUUUGCUGUCACUUAUAGAUGGAUCCGCGCCGCAUUAGCUAGUUGGUAAGGUAACAGCUUACCAAGGCAACGAUGCGUAGCCGACCUGAGAGGGUGAUCGGCCACACUGGAACUGAGACACGGUCCAGACUCCUACGGGAGGCAGCAGUAGGGAAUCUUCCGCAAUGGGCGAAAGCCUGACGGAGCAACGCCGCGUGAGUGAUGAAGGUCUUCGGAGCGUAAAACUCUGUUAUUAGGGAAGAACAAAUGUGUAAGUAACUAUGCACGUCUUGACGGUACCUAAUCAGAAAGCCACGGCUAACUACGUG